rnacentral:lncRNA from 1 species
CUUUCCUGCCACAAUUCCAGCAGUCUACCUGCCUUCUGUCCCCACCAGCUCUAGGGACAGUUACAGCCAUUAGAGGUGUGCUCCUCUUUCUAGUAUUUAGAUUAGCUUCCACUCCCCUAGCCACCUUCACCAGAUCACCAUAGGUUAAACUUCUCCACUCAGGUCUAGCAUUUUGGAGACCAGUCCUUAUGGGUAUGUGGAUACCAUCCAUGAAGCAGUUAAU